CAAACCCAUGAAACCUGAGAUCAUGAACUGAGCUGAAGUCAGAUGCUCAACCGACUGAACCACCCAGGCGCCCCUUGACCUUGCAUUUCUGAUCUGAUCUUAGGUGUCUGAACUUUUCUCCCCCCCUUCUCAUCUGUAAGCCUACACUCUAGAUCCCACAUGGGCCCUCCACAUCCCACUCUCACACCCCCUGCCUUUGCUCACCUCAUUCUCCCACCUCCAUGAGCCCCCACCGUCCCUUCUGGACUCAGCUCCUCAAGGACCCAGUGACCAGGCUGCUCAGCCACUCAGAGACCUUUCCCACCUGCUUACUGGUUCCAGCCUGUAUGUCUCCUCUCCCUGCAGUUUGUCGGUUUCUGGAGCCAGCGCUUGUGUGGUCUUCAUUCGUCUUCGUCCCCAGCAUGGAGGUCAGAGCCCUGCACUUGUCAGGUUCUCAGGAAAUGUUUGUCACCUCAACUUUUGCUGCAGAGGCUGAGCUGGCUUCUUAACCCCCUCCAGGACUUGCAGCCUUGGCCCUAUGACCCCAGUGGGGGCUUCUCCCGCAUGGAUCCCCCCAAGACUGAGCAGGCUCUGGGCAGGUGCCGAGAGAACUCUUUGGACUCUCCAGAUUUCCAUCCCGGGUCAUGUCGGGAACUAUACUUAUGUGACUGUGCCCUGUGUUCAGUUUGGCUCAUGAGACAGGGAAGGUUCCCUCUUGAGACUUGACUUUUGCAGCCAAAUUCCCCUCAAUGUGUUUUCAAACCUAAGCAGAUGCCAGUUUUAAGAACUAAAGCAAGGUCGUCAGGGAAACAGGGCUUCCAGGAGUAACGGAAGUGCUGAGUCUUCUCUGUGCAGAUGAUCUGCAGUGCCGAUCAAGUCCCGGGGACUGGUGACGGUGGCCCUGCAGGCCCUGUCCCCUGACUCUUCCCAAGCUCCCCUCUGCCGCAUUUCCAUGUCACCCAAUGCAGAGGCAGCAGAAGGACAACAGUGUGUGCUGAGGGGACACGUUUGCCCGGCUGUCAAACAGCUGUCACAUCUGUCCUUGGGAAUGGACCUUCUGGGAGCCCAAGCCGUCAUUCCUGCUGACGCCACACAUGGGCCAGCUUUGCUGGUUCAAAGGCCUUCAAUUCCCAGUCCCAGUUUCCUGCCACCUUGACUGACUCUGGUCACGAUGAAUGUGGAUCUACAUUUAUUUAAAAAAUAAACAAAUGACUUACCGUGUUUUGA